GACGAACGCUGGCGGCGUGCCUAACACAUGCAAGUCGAGCGGGGUUGAAGCGAGAGGUAACUCGAACUUCUACCUAGCGGCGGACGGGUGAGUAACGCGUGGGCAACCUGCCUCAAGGUCUGGGAUAACAGCCCGAAAGGGCUGCUAAUACUGGGUAUGCUUGUGGCCUCGCAUGGGGCUAUGAGCAAAGGGGAAACCCGCCUUGAGAUGGGCCCGCGUCCCAUCAGCUAGUUGGUGAGGUAACAGCUCACCAAGGCGACGACGGGUAGCCGGCCUGAGAGGGUGACCGGCCACACUGGGACUGAGACACGGCCCAGACUCCUACGGGGGGCAGCAGUGGGGGAUCUUGCACAAUGGGCGAAAGCCUGAUGCAGCGACGCCGCGUGAGCGAAGAAGGCCUCGGUGUAAGCUCUGUCUGGAGGGACGAGGAAGUGACGGUACCUCCGGAGGAAGCCACGGCGUAACUACGUAGCCAGCAGCCGCGGUAAACGUCGUACUCUA
rnacentral:rRNA from 1 species